GCCCGGGUGGCGAAAUUGGUAGACGCGCAAGACUUAAAAUCCUGUGGUUUAUAAAUGACCGUGCGGGUUCGAUUCCCGCCCUGGGCACCA
rnacentral:tRNA from 1 species